GAUGAACGCUGGCGGCGUGCCUAAUACAUGCAAGUCGAGCGAACGGACUAUAAGCUUGCUUCUCUGAUGUUAGCGGCGGACGGGUGAGUAACACGUGGAUAACCUACCUAUAAGACUGGGAUAACUUCGGGAAACCGGAGCUAAUACCGGAUAAUAUUUUGAACCGCAUGGUUCAAAAGUGAAAGACGGUCUUGCUGUCACUUAUAGAUGGAUCCGCGCUGCAUUAGCUAGUUGGUAAGGUAACGGCUUACCAAGGCAACGAUGCAUAGCCGACCUGAGAGGGUGAUCGGCCACAAUGGAACUGAGACACGGUCCAGACUCCUACGGGAGGCAGCAGUAGGGAAUCUUCCGCAAUGGGCGAAAGCCUGACGGAGCAACGCCGCGUGAGUGAUGAAGGUCUUCGGAUCGGAAAACUCUGUUAUUAGGGAAGAACAUAUGUGUAAGUAACUGUGAACAGCUUGACGGUACCUAAUCAGAAAGCCACGGCUAACUACGUG
rnacentral:rRNA from 1 species